CCACGUCUGGGCAAUAACUGAUUAUAUGCUCCUCUUACCACCUAUAUAAAUACCCUUCCACCACCUGCCUAUACUCCUUCGACUACCACUCUAACCCUAAUUUCUCUCAAGAAUUUCAUCAAAUUGAUUAUUAUCACUUUUGGCAGGGUGACAUCCGGAGGGCUCGUGGUGGAAUUGAUGUUUCUGCUAUUGAAGCAACCCAGAAUUUGCGGCCACUGUGAGGGAAGAUGAUGAACCAAGUGCUGACAACGCCUGCCUUCUGUCUCCGUUAAUCCCUUACACUGCUGACAUCAUAGAAUCGUUCAUUGUUUCAUGCUCGAUAUUACUUAAUUGCUUCUUACAUUUUCAUUUUCUUCUAAUUUGAUUUUAAUCAAUCCAAGGCUCCCAAGAAAGGUGGAAAGCCAGAGUAGCAACGAAGAAGAAAACAGAGAAGGCAGUGAAUCCGUUGUUUGAGAGGAGGCGGGAGCAGUUUGGAAUUGGCGUUUGAUUGUUGUUUUGAAUCGAAGGUUUGCCAUGUUAUCAGGUUAGAUGACCAUUUUUUUAAACGCAUCAGAAUUGUCUGGUGGCUGCCUACAAGGGUCUAUGCUGCCUCGUAAACGGGUCAAAAGUAUCUCAGAAAGUGGCUGCCUAUGAAGUGUUUGAUCAAUUGCCUCCCAUUUUUUAUGUAUUAUUUCAUAUGUUGCGUUUUGAAGUUGAGGUUCAUUUACAGUCAACUGUGACUUGAAUUGAAGUAACUAAUUAUUUUCUGUGAAUUGUUUUGUUUAGGAAGAGAAGUAAUAGGCUACUAAUCAUAGAGCAAAACCAAUGAGGAUUCUAGGGUGUCGGUUUGCAACUCAGAUGAAAUUAUCCAUCUGUAAGGAUCUUUGAUAUAUUUAUUUGUAAAUUUCUGAUUCAGGAUACACAAAAUACGAAAUGCUGGUUUGAAGGUUGUGCUAACAUCAACUGGGCAAAGUAUUGAUGUUAAAAACUUGGUUAAGGUGGCACCCCUGCUGUUAAAAAGCCAGUCAAGCAGCAGUGAAGAGUCUAGACAUGAAGUAGAUAUGUACGUGUUCAACUCCAGAGUCAAGUCGAAGAAAUUUUAUUUUUUGUGCUUUUAUUACGGUGCUUUUAUCAUUAAAGGUUAUGUUUACUAACCGUUUUUUAUUAAUAUAUUGUUCACCACAACACUAACCGUUUUUUUUUUUUUGCUUGAAUUCUAACCGUUUUUUAUUGAAUUCUAACUGUUUUUGUUUCUAACUAAAUUAUGUUGCUUUUUUCUUAUUCUCGAAAUCUCCCUGCUAGAAGAGACGUAGCAGGUUUUGUUAUGUUUACUUCUAUUUAGUUCCCCCAAUUGUUUAUUUCAUUCUUUUAUUUGAAUGUGUUCUGAUGCUCGAUUUUUUGUGUAUUAGAGCUUGACGCUAAUUAAUCUAAGCGCCAUGUUCAAAAUCCUCCAUCCACUAAAAUGUGGAUAAAAAGAAGGCUAAAUAAUGUUGAUGGGCGUUGAUGUGCUAAAUUAUUCAACCACGGGAAGAUUACAAAAGUUUUACCGUUGCAAAACCAGGUCAUGAGAGGAGUAGGUUUGGCUUUGUUCACUCUGCAGACCGGUUUAUCCCAGCCCUCUUUAAUUCAUUGUGGAGGUGCAAAAAAGGUUCUCAGGUACAGCCAAUUAUCAGUUGUGGUUUGGAAGAAGACGUGAUAAUCAUGUGACAUUAGAAGGAUUUACAAACAACAAUUAGGGGAGCUCAUUCGAAGAUCGCGAAAGUAUUUCGGCAAGUGUUUUUUCUACUGGUUCAGGUGUUAUAUCUCGGAGCUCAAAGAAGCUGCUACUUGUCAGGUCUUUUGGCUUCGUCAUUCUUUGAAAGAAUUGGCACAUGAACAGAAGGAAGCAAUUGUUAUCUUUUGCAAGAAUAAGUCAGUUGUGUUUCUUUCCAAGAAUCAAGCUAUUCACAACAGGAGUAAGCAUACAGAUAUCAAGUUUCAUUUCAUUUGAAGCCUGGUUGAAGAAAAACAGAUUAAAAUCAGUUCAUGUUUUACGCAAGACCCGGUGGUAGACAUAUUUACUAAAGCAUUGGGACCGGAAACGUUUUGUUGGUUGAGAAUGAAACUUAGAGUUAUGGAACUACCAGAGUUUGUAUUACACGAGUAUUUACAAUAUAAUUCAAAGUGCUGGAUUUUAACGUUAGUGGAAUUUUAGAAGGGUCAAGAGAAGACCGAGGUUUUAGUUAGUUAUUUGAGCAAAUGUGAUUUGUUUGGUUUUGAGUUAUUUUGAAUUGUUCUUUGUUUCCGUUCUUAUCCUUUGCCUAUUUAAGAGGCGUCAAUGAUUAUCAGUAAAGUAUCUGGCUUCUCCGUA